rnacentral:rRNA from 1 species
GAUGAACGCUGGCGGCGUGCUUAACACAUGCCAGUCGAACGAUGAAGCCCAGCUUGCUGGGUGGAUUAGUGGCGAACGGGUGAGUAACACGUGAGUAACCUGCCCUUAACUCUGGGAUAAGCCUGGGAAACUGGGUCUAAUACCGGAUAGGAGCGUCCACCGCAUGGUGGGUGUUGGAAAGAUUUAUCGGUUUUGGAUGGACUCGCGGCCUAUCAGCUUGUUGGUGAGGUAAUGGCUCACCAAGGCGACGACGGGUAGCCGGCCUGAGAGGGUGACCGGCCACACUGGGACUGAGACACGGCCCAGACUCCUACGGGAGGCAGCAGUGGGGAAUAUUGCACAAUGGGCGCAAGCCUGAUGCAGCGACGCCGCGUGAGGGAUGACGGCCUUCGGGUUGUAAACCUCUUUCAGUAGGGAAGAAGCGAAAGUGACGGUACCUGCAGAAGAAGCACCGGCUAACUACGUG